rnacentral:rRNA from 1 species
UGCAGUCGACGGCUGUAGCAAUACAGCAGUGGCAGACGGGUGAGUAACACGUGGGAACCUACCUAGGGGUACGGAAUAACUCAGGGAAACUUGUGCUAAUACCGUAUACGACCUCAGGGUGAAAGAUUUAUCGCCCCUAGAUGGGCCCGCGCUGGAUUAGCUAGUUGGUGGGGUAAAAGCCUACCAAGGCGACGAUCCAUAGCUGGUCUGAGAGGAUGAUCAGCCACACUGGGACUGAGACACGGCCCAGACUCCUACGGGAGGCAGCAGUAGGGAAUCUUGGACAAUGGGCGAAAGCCUGAUCCAGCCAUGCCGCGUGAGUGAUGAAGGCCUUAGGGUUGUAAAGCUCUUUCGCCAGGGAAGAUAAUGACGGUACCUGGAUAAGAAGCCCCGGCUAACUUCGUGCCAGCAGCCGCGGUAAUACGAAGGGGGCUAGCGUUGUUCGGAAUUACUGGGCGUAAAGCGCACGUAGGCGGCAUUCCAAGUUGGAGGUGAAAUCCCCGGGCUUAACCUGGGAACUGCCUCCAAAACUGGGAAGCUAGAGUCCGAGAGAGGUGAGUGGAAUUUCCAGUGUAGAGGUGAAAUUCGUAGAUAUUGGAAAGAACACCAGUGGCGAAGGCGGCUCACUGGCUCGGUACUGACGCUGAGGU